UUCUUACUAGGUCUAACUGUGGACAGAAGGAAGGCUUGCACCUUCACCUUAGAGCAUUUUCCAUCUAUAUAAUGUAAAAGCAGAAUGCAGCAUGCACAGCCCUGGCUGAUACCUUGAGUUCUUUGGGAAGGACCAAGAUGCUUCUCAGAUCCUUUUGUAAUGGACUCUUCAAAGUUUUGGAAGUGGACUUGAGCUGGGUUCUUCUAAUGAUAAAAGGCUUUCAGACUGCUGUUUGGAGCUGCUCUGCUCCCACCUCCUCACCCCAACAGGAUUCUGCAAGAUAUCACAGGYUGCAGCCCCCGUGGACCCAUUUGUGCUGGCUCUCUCCCCGCUCAGCAUGCAGCUAGAAAGCAACAGCUGAUUCAAAAAUAAGAGCAGCACCACUCGGGGCUGCCUAAUUGGCACUCGCUGCCAGCGGUUAAACAGGUCGCUCCCAGGAUCUGGAUCGUGGCCAACCUGAGAUGCYGGGAUUCAGCGCCAAAACCUUCCCACAGGCCAUGUGGACUCUGGCGCUGAGCAGUGAACUGGCUUGGGCACGUUAGAAAUGAUCAGAUGUCUGCAAUGCAGAAGGAAAUGCAAUGCAAUGCAGUUUCUGAAGAUCCUCRUCAAAAGAACCUGAAGCACUUUCAAUGUUUAAUGGCUUUUGACAACUCUGUCUUAGUUCCUAUUGCAUUAAGGCUGCAGAAACAUGAAUACUUCCCCCAUUUGUUUUUCUGUCUUUGUAGUUUUUGUGAAAACAUUAGUAUCUCUUAGCAAUUAAAAAGAACCCUACAUUUUAAUAUUUUUUGAACCUGUUUAAUUUUUCAUAAAGGAGUAUAUAUAUGUUUAUAUCUUCCCUUGAAAUACUAUUGUAAUAAA